UACGAGGGGGCGAGCGUUGUUCGGAAUUAUUGGGCGUAAAGGGUGCGUAGGCGGUUCCGCAAGUCCUGUGUGAAUCUUCGGCUCAACUCGAAGUCUGCACGGGAACUGCGGGCUUGAGUGUGGGAGAGGUGAGUGGAACUGCGAGUGUAGAGGUGAAAUUCGUAGAUAUUCGCAAGAACACCAGUGGCGAAGGCGGCUCACUGGCCCGGUACUGACGCUGAGGUGCGAAAG
rnacentral:rRNA from 1 species